UUUGACCUCAGAUUAGACGUGAAAACCCGCUGAAUUUAAGCAUAUAACUAGGCGGAGGAAAAGAAAUUAACAAAGAUUUCCUUAG
rnacentral:rRNA from 1 species